AUGAAUCCUGCAAGUCUUGUCAAAGAAAAAAUCAUGUUUUUCAUCAAGAAGUUAUGCAAAUCACACUCUAAGAAGCAUGGAGUAGUUCCGAAAGGUUAUAUACCCGUGUACGUCGGAAAAGGAAAAGAACGAAAGAGAUACUGUCUUCCUUUGAGGUAUAUCUCCCAUCCAACCGUCCAAGAACUCAUCGAGAAGUCCCAAGCCGAUGUGUUCGAUCCAAAGAUUGAAGGGCCUUUUGUGCUUACAUGUAAUACUAACACCUUCGAUCAGUUGCUGAAGAUCUUCAAGGAAUACUAG
rnacentral:lncRNA from 1 species